rnacentral:rRNA from 1 species
UACGUAGGGUGCGAGCGUUAAUCGGAAUUACUGGGCGUAAAGCGUGCGCAGGCGGUUUUGUAAGCCAGAUGUGAAAGCCCCGGGCUUAACCCUGGGAAUGGCAUUUGGGACUGCAAGGCUGGAGUGUGGCAGAGGAGACUGGAAUUCCUGGUGUAGCAGUGAAAUGCGUAGAUAUCAGGAGGAACACCGAUGGCGAAGGCAGGUCUCUGGGCUGACACUGACGCUCAUGCACGAAAGCGUGGGGAGCGAAACAA